rnacentral:rRNA from 1 species
CCUACGGGCGGCAGCAGUGGGGGAUAUUGCACAAUGGGGGAAACCCUGAUGCCGCGACGCCGCGUGGGUGAAGAAGCGCCUCGGCGCGUAAAGCCCUGUCAGCAGGGAAGAAAGUGAAGGUACCUGAAGAAGAAGCCCCGGCUAAACACGUGCCAGCAGCCGCGGUAAUACGGAGGGGGCAAGCGUUGUCCGGAUUUACGGGGUGUAAAGGGGGCGCAGAGGGCGAGGCAAGCCAGGAGUGAAAGCCCGGGGACCCACCCCGGGAAUGCUCUUGGAACUGCGUGGAGAGAGUGCAGGAGGGGGAGGCGGAAUUCCUGGUGUAGCGGUAAAAUGCGUAGAUAUCAGGAGGAACACCGGUGGCGAAGGCGGCCUGCUGGACUGCAACUGACGUUGAGGCCCGAAAGCGUGGGGAGCAAACAGGAUUAGAUACCCGGGUAGUC